AGUUCCGAGGUGGUUCACGCAAGAUUGCAAAUCUUGAGAAGUCGGCUAAUUCCCGACCGGGGCUU
rnacentral:tRNA from 1 species